rnacentral:rRNA from 1 species
AUUGAACGCUGGCGGCAGGCCUAACACAUGCAAGUCGAGCGAGCGGCGGACGGGUGAGUAAUGUAUGGGGACUGCCCGAUAGAGGGGGAUAACUACUGGAAACGGUAGCUAAUACCGCAUACUAUCGGAUAACCCAUAUGGGAUUAGCUAGUAGGUGGGGUAAUGGCUCACCUAGGCGACGAUCCCUAGCUGGUCUGAGAGGAUGAUCAGCCACACUGGGACUGGGACACGGCCCAGACUCCUACGGAGGCAGCAGUGGGGAAUAUUGGACAAGGGGGGGAAGCCUGAUACAGCCAUGCCGAGUGUAUGAAGAAGGCCCUAGGGGUGGAAAGUACGUUCAGUCGGGAGGCGUUACCGGCAGAAGAAGCACCGGCUAACUACGUGCCAGCAGCCGCGGUAAUAC